GACGAACGCUGGCGGCGUGCUUAACACGUGCAAGUCGAGCGGUAAGGCCCUUUCGGGGGUACACGAGCGGCGAACGGGUGAGUAACACGUGGGUGACCUGCCCUCAGCUCUGGGAUAAGCCUGGGAAACCGGGUCUAAUACCGGAUAUGACUCCAUGACGCAUGUUGUGGGGUGGAAAGCCUUGUGCGGCUGAGGAUGGGCCCGCGGCCUAUCAGCUUGUUGGUGGGGUGAUGGCCUACCAAGGCGACGACGGGUAGCCGGCCUGAGAGGGCGACCGGCCACACUGGGACUGAGACACGGCCCAGACUCCUACGGGAGGCAGCAGUGGGGAAUCUUGCGCAAUGGGCGAAAGCCUGACGCAGCGACGCCGCGUGAGGGAUGACGGCCUGGUGUAAC
rnacentral:rRNA from 1 species